CAGAAUGAUUAUAAACGGGAGAAGGUGCAGCAGAUUGGCCAGCAAAAGACGUUGCAAAUGGCCGUGAUGUGGACUCCGGAA